UUAACACAAAUUUGUAUGGAGUUGGAACGUUUGGUUACGUUUCCUGCUAGGGGCGCUGUUCCAACUGCAUACAAAUUUGUGUUA
rfam:Bombyx mori DNA, contig: Bm_scaf23_contig15638, strain: p50T/Dazao, build 2, whole genome shotgun sequence.